GGAGAGGUGCGAGAGUGGUUGAAUCGGGCGGUCUCGAAAACCGUUAUACUGAAAAGUAUCUAGGGUUCGAAUCCCUACCUCUCCG
rnacentral:tRNA from 1 species